rnacentral:rRNA from 1 species
UACGUAGGGUGCGAGCGUUGUCCGGAAUUAUUGGGCGUAAAGAGCUCGUAGGUGGCGGGUCACGUCGGGUGUGAAAGCCCGGGGCUUAACUCCGGGUCUGCAUUCGAUACGGGUCUGCUGGGGUCCGGCAGGGGAGACUGGAAUUCCUGGUGUAGCGGUGAAAUGCGUAGAUAUCGAGAGGAACACCUGCGGCGAAGGCGGGUUGCUGGGCCGACACUGACGCUGAUGCGCGAAAGCCAGGGGAGCGAACGGG